AGUCCUAUAGCUCAGUUGGUAGAGCUGUGCCCUGAUAAGGCAUGUGUCGCAGGUUCGAGACCCGCUAGGACUACCA
rnacentral:tRNA from 9 species